GUGAACCUUUACUAUAGCUUGACACUGAACAUUGAGCCUUGAUGUGUAGGAUAGGUGGGAGGCUUUGAAGUGUGGACGCCAGUCUGCAUGGAGCCGACCUUGAAAUACCACCCUUUAAUGUUUGAUGUUCUAACGUUGACCCGUGAUCCGGGUUGCGGACAGUGUCUGGUGGGUAGUUUGACUGGGGCGGUCUCCUCCUAAAGAGUAACGGAGGAGCACGAAGGUUGGCUAAUCCUGGUCGGACAUCAGGAGGUUAGUGCAAUGGCAUAAGCCAGCUUGACUGCGAGCGUGACGGCGCGAGCAGGUGCGAAAGCAGGUCAUAGUGAUCCGGUGGUUCUGAAUGGAAGGGCCAUCGCUCAACGGAUAAAAGGUACUCCGGGGAUAACAGGCUGAUACCGCCCAAGAGUUCAUAUCGACGGCGGUGUUUGGCACCUCGAUGUCGGCUCAUCACAUCCUGGGGCUGAAGUAGGUCCCAAGGGUAUGGCUGUUCGCCAUUUAAAGUGGUACGCGAGCUGGGUUUAGAACGUCGUGAGACAGUUCGGUCCCUAUCUGCCGUGGGCGCUGGAGAACUGAGGGGGGCUGCUCCUAGUACGAGAGGACCGGAGUGGACGCAUCACUGGUGUUCGGGUUGUCAUGCCAAUGGCACUGCCCGGUAGCUAAAUGCGGAAGAGAUAAGUGCUGAAAGCAUCUAAGCACGAAACUUGCC
rnacentral:rRNA from 1 species